GGCGAGGUAGCUCAGUUGGUUAGAGCGCAGGAUUCAUAACCCUGAGGUCGGCAGUUCAAAUCUGCUUCUCGCUACCA
rnacentral:tRNA from 1 species